UACGAAGGUGGCAGGCGUUAUCCGGAAUUAUUGGGCGUAAAGCGUUCCUCGGUUGUUUAGUAGGUUUUUCGUCAAACCUUUGGGCUUAACCCAAAUCUCGCGAAAAAAACUACUAAGCUUUGAGUGCGGAAGAGGUCAACGGAAUAGCCGGUGUAGUAGUAAAAUGCGUUUAUAUCGGCUAGAACACCAAAAGCGAAGGCAGUUGACUAGGACGCCACUGACACUCAUGGAACGAAAGCGUGGGGAGCGAAAGGG
rnacentral:rRNA from 1 species